UUCAUGGAGAGUUUGAUCCUGGCUCAGGACGAACGCUGGCGGCGUGCUUAACACAUGCAAGUCGAACGAUGACGGUGGUGCUUGCACUGCCUGAUUAGUGGCGAACGG
rnacentral:rRNA from 1 species